GAUGAACGCUAGCGACAGGCCUAACACAUGCAAGUCGAGGGGCAGCACAUGAGUAGCAAUACGAUGGUGGCGACCGGCGCACGGGUGAGUAACACGUAUGCAACCUGCCUUCUACUAUGGGAUAACCCGUUGAAAGACGGACUAAUACCGUAUAAUACAGGGGCUCCGCAUGGAGAUAUUUGUUAAAGAUUUAUUGGUAGAAGAUGGGCAUGCGUAUGAUUAGGUAGUUGGUGAGGUAACGGCACACCAAGUCAACGAUCAUUAGGGGUGCUGAUAGGAAGGUACCCCACACUGGAACGGAGACACGGACCAGACUCCUGCGGGAGGCAGCAGUGAGGAAUAUUGGUCAAUGGACGAGAGUCUGAACCAGCCAAGUCGCGUGAAAGAAGACGGUUCUAUGAAUUGUAAACUUCUUUUGUGCAGGAAUAAAGUGGGUUACGUGUAACCUUUUGUAUGUACUGUACGAAUAAGGAUCGGCUAACUCCGUGCCAGCCGCCGCGGUAAGAC
rnacentral:rRNA from 1 species